CUGGUCCUGGAGCUGCGUGUUGAUCUCUGUCAGCUCCUCGUUGGCUUGAUCCUCCGGUUGAGCCUGCAAAAACAUCAUAAAGAAUACAAACAAAUCCUUUAGGAGUCUGAUCUGAACCAGGUGCUGCCUGACAGCCUCCUGCAGGUGUAGGAUGCUGCUCCGCUGCUCCUCCGGGUUGCUUGAGAUUUCCAGCUGGAAACGCACACGCUGCUUUUUCUCGCUGUGUUCCUGAGGAAAAAAAAAAAAAAAGA